rnacentral:rRNA from 1 species
UACGUAGGGUGCAAGCGUUGUCCGGAAUUAUUGGGCGUAAAGAGCGUGUAGGCGGUUCGGUAGGUCCGUUGUGAAAACUCGAGGCUCAACCUCGAGACGCCGAUGGAAACCCCCGAACUAGAGUCCGGAAGAGGAGAGUGGAAUUCCUGGUGUAGCGGUGAAAUGCGCAGAUAUCAGGAAGAACACCCGUGGCUAAGGCGGCUCUCUAGUACGGUACUGACGCUGAGACGCGAAAGCGUGGGGAGCGAACAGG